UGGGGAAUUUUGGACAAUGGGCGAAAGCCUGAUCCAGCAAUGCCGCGUGUGUGAAGAAGGCCUUCGGGUUGUAAAGCACUUUUGUCCGGAAAGAAAUCCUUGGCUCUAAUACAGUCGGGGGAUGACGGUACCGGAAGAAUAAGCACCGGCUAACUACGUGCCAGCAGCCGCGGUAAUACGUAGGGUGCAAGCGUUAAUCGGAAUUACUGGGCGUAAAGCGUGCGCAGGCGGUUUGCUAAGACCGAUGUGAAAUCCCCGGGCUCAACCUGGGAACUGCAUUGGUGACUGGCAGGCUAGAGUAUGGCAGAGGGGGGUAGAAUUCCACGUGUAGCAGUGAAAAUGCGUAGAGAUGUGGAGGAAUACCGAUGGCGAAGGCAGCCCCCUGGGCCAAAUACUGACGCUCAUGCACGAAAAGCGUGGGGAGCAAAACAGGAUUAGAUACCCUGGUAGUCCACGCCCUAAAACGAUGUCAACUAGUUGUUGGGGGAUUCAUUUCCUUAGUAACGUAGCUAACGCGUGAAGUUGACCGCCUGGGGAGUACGGUCGCAAGAUUAAAAACUCAAAUGAAUUGACGGGGUCAUAGCUGUUUCCU
rnacentral:rRNA from 1 species